AACGGCCAUACCAUGCUGAAUAUACCGGUUCUCGUUAGAUCACCGAAGUCAAGCAUCAUUGGGCGCGGUCAGUACUUGGGUGGGUGACCACCUGGGAACACCGCUUGCCGU